AACGCUGGCGGCAUGCUUUACACAUGCAAGUCGAACGGCAGCACGGAAGAGCUUGCUCUUUUGGUGGCGAGUGGCGAACGGGUGAGUAAUGCAUCGGAACGUACCGAGUAGUGGGGGAUAACUGUCCGAAAGGAUGGCUAAUACCGCAUACGCUUUGAGAAGGAAAGCGGGGGCUCUUAGGACCUCGCGCUAUUCGAGCGGCCGAUGUCUGAUUAGCUAGUUGGUGGGGUAAGAGCCUACCAAGGCGACGAUCAGUAGCGGGUCUGAGAGGAUGAUCCGCCACACUGGGACUGAGACACGGCCCAGACUCCUACGGGAGGCAGCAGUGGGGAAUUUUGGACAAUGGGGGCAACCCUGAUCCAGCCAUGCCGCGUGUCUGAAGAAGGCCUUCGGGUUGUAAAGGACUUUUGUCAGGGAAGAAAGGGUUUGUGCUAAUACCACGAACAUAUGACGGUACCUGAAGAAUAAGCACCGGCUAACUACGUGCCAGCAGCCGCGGUAAUACGUAGGGUGCGAGCGUUAAUCGGAAUUACUGGGCGUAAAGCGGGCGCAGACGGUUACUUAAGUCAGAUGUGAAAUCCCCGGGCUCAACCUGGGAACUGCGUUUGAAACUGGGUAGCUAGAGUAUGUCAGAGGGGGGUAGAAUUCCACGUGUAGCAGUGAAAUGCGUAGAGAUGUGGAGGAAUACCGAUGGCGAAGGCAGCCCCCUGGGAUAAUACUGACGUUCAUGCCCGAAAGCGUGGGUAGCAAACAGGAUUAGAUACCCUGGUAGUCCACGCCCUAAACGAUGUCAAUUAGCUGUUGGGGCACUUGAUGCCUUAGUAGCGUAGCUAACGCGUGAAAUUGACCGCCUGGGGAGUACGGUCGCAAGAUUAAAACUCAAAGGAAUUGACGGGGACCCGCACAAGCGGUGGAUGAUGUGGAUUAAUUCGAUGCAACGCGAAGAACCUUACCUGGUCUUGACAUGUACGGAAUCCUCCAGAGACGGAGGAGUGCCUUCGGGAGCCGUAACACAGGUGCUGCAUGGCUGUCGUCAGCUCGUGUCGUGAGAUGUUGGGUUAAGUCCCGCAACGAGCGCAACCCUUGUCAUUAGUUGCCAUCAUUAAGUUGGGCACUCUAAUGAGACUGCCGGUGACAAGCCGGAGGAAGGUGGGGAUGACGUCAAGUCCUCAUGGCCCUUAUGACCAGGGCUUCACACGUCAUACAAUGGUCGGUACAGAGGGUAGCCAAGCCGCGAGGUGGAGCCAAUCUCAUAAAACCGAUCGUAGUCCGGAUUGCACUCUGCAACUCGAGUGCAUGAAGUCGGAAUCGCUAGUAAUCGCAGGUCAGCAUACUGCGGUGAAUACGUUCCCGGGUCUUGUACACACCGCCCGUCACACCAUGGGAGUGGGGGAUACCAGAAGUAGGUAGGGUAACCGCAAGGAGCCCGCUUACCACGGUAUGCUUCAUGACUGGGGUGAAGUCGUAACAAGGUAGCCGUAGGGGAACCUGCGGCUGGAUCACCUCCUUUCU
rnacentral:rRNA from 1 species